UUAUACCUUUGGCAACUGGAGCAAGUACGUGUAAAAUUAGCGAUUUCCUUGGUCAUGUUUGGCCAAAAGAAAUCUGCUCUAAUUCUUUCAUAAAGUUUAUGGGCACCUUGGUGACCACCUAUGGCGGACUCAUGGUACUCUUUUAUAAUGAGAGGCCUAUUUGUUAGAGAUGAGAUGCUGAUAUCUUUUAUAUCUAAAGAAUCUAUGAGAUGUUUAAGGGAGCUUAAAGAAGAUUCAAGGUGAACAGGAUCUACUUGUUCAUUCGAGGAUGCUUUUACCAAAAGAGAAUUUUCCGUGAGUUACAAGGUCUCUACUUGUUUGUGAUGUGAUUUCAUAGUCUGUGGAGAAGAAAUGGAUGAAAUUAUCCUUACGCAUAUAAAGAUGGUCCUUUGUAUAGAGGAUAGUGGGAGAAUGAGGAUGGUGAGUUGCUGGUAUUG